AUGACAGACAUCCCUAGUGCUGGCCUGUGGAUUCCCUGUCCCUGUGUCCUGCCCACCUUUGGGAUGUGGGACAAUCUUGGGUUAGACUUCUCCAGAGCUGAAGGCUCACCUGGUUGGGCUGGGGUGAAGCGCCUGGUGGUUCUGAUUCUAUACGCCUGUGCACAAUUAGAUCCUGCUUGCACAGAAUGGGGAAGCCAAGAAUCCAAGAACAUCGAGGUCUUCCUGGAGUUCCUUGUUACCCGUGAUCCAAAGGAGCAAGGGCGGCCCUGGCCCGCAGCAGAGGCAGGGAAGCGAGCAGGCCUCCCUGGCAGCCUGGCCCGUGUCCCUGGACCAGCCCUCGUGCAUUCCGAGCAGCAGGGCCUGGACACUUGCUGAAUCCUUUGAAGCUGGAGAGCUGCUUGGGUGGGGGCUGUGUCUGCGUGGGGCACAUUUUUUUUCUCAUUGCCAAGAAUUUCCGCUUCCAACGGCAUUCGUCUUUCCCAGGAACUCCCUUCAGCAAAAAGAGAAAAGAAAAAGGAAACAGAAGAAACCCUCCCUGAACAAGGAGACUUUCUUUCUCUGUCAGUCCCUGAUAAGAAAAGUGUUCUGCCAAUCGUGGCAUCCUGUUCUGAACCUGCCCUGCUCCUCUCGCCCUGGCCAGGCCCUCGGGCUUCUCUGGGUGUGAUUCACGACAGUGGGGGCUCGGUGGCCUUCGGGUGAUUGCUCCAAGGUCAGCCGUAGAUGAACUUUUGGGACUUGGGGACAUGAAUUCAAGCUGUCAGCCAAGUGUGCAAAAUUGCUCCGCUGAGGCUGAUUAGCUUCUUCUCUCAAGCACUCUCUGAAUCUCUUUCUCCCAUCGUAAUAACAACUUAGACACAUUGCCGGCUAGACAUUAACAGAGAUAGAAAUGACCAUACCAUCUUUUCUAUUCUAAGAU
rnacentral:lncRNA from 1 species